AAUGCGGCACUGGUGAGAAGAUAAUGGGCCAGAGCCGCGCCGACUCUACAAAACACUUCUGGCUGACAGACGGCUUUUUCUCUCUGGGCCGAUCUCGGCUGAAAGCUGUUGUACGUGCGGCAGGUCCGCACUCGGAGUAGUUGCGUGAAUUUACCUUCGGCCCGAGUUGGCGGGCCGCUGCUAGAAUGAAGGAACUCAGCCGCUGAGAGAGAGAUUUGGCGGUUAAUCCUGAGGAGAUUUCGGCGGGCACAGUUCUCAAGAGGAAUACUUCAGCUGCAAAAAGAUAAGUUAAGUUAUUUAAUUUAUUUAAUGAUCAAUCUAGUGUUGUUUGAUGUUUAAAUGCCACGAAGAGUAUAGUUUUUAGAUGGUUUCUGUUAGGCUUGCGAUGAUAACAUAGCGUCAGAAAAACCGUUCGGUCACGGACAUAUUCAAUAUGAUAUUGAGUGUUGAUGAGUAACGUUAGGCCUAACUGUCAGGCGCGGUCUCUUUAGGAAAACAAUAUGCAUGUUUUUAAUAUGAAAAACCGAUGAGCUGUAUCCAGUGCAUGAUAAUGUUAGGUAAUUAAAUUUUAAUGAGUUAAAUUCUAUUUUGUUUGCUAGAAUUCAUUCGAUUCGUCUUUUUCAACGAGUGACACUAUUGAAUCAAAGGAGUCGGACUGCGCUGGUGGCGCCAUGAACAUCUAUACAAGUGACUCUCUGAUUCGAUUCACUUAAUCAUUCAAAUGAGUCAUUUGUUUGUGAAUCAAACUGAGCACGCUGUUAUAGCAUUACACCGAGUGGCGGUUUUAGGCAUGGGCGAACCGGGCAGUUCAGACGAAUUCGCGUCAAGGAGGGGCUUCUGCCAGGCAGCUCGUCUCAUUACACUACACUGGUCCAAUCACAAAUGACUAUUUUUUACUAUACUAUUGUGAAUGUAUUUGCAAUAGGAUACAAUUAGAAUGAAUGUACAAAUGUUUGCCUAUUCUAGUCUUAACAUAGAAAUAUUAUUUUUAUGUAACAAAUAGGCUAUAAAUUAUGAUUUACUAUGUUGUGCACAAAGUAACACACCAAGUAAGAUCCUUUUUUAUUCCUGUUUCUAUAAAAGUACGAAGAUGUAUCAUACAGCUCUGGGCAUCCACAUACAGCGACGAUGAUUUUGAUCCACUUAGUGGGCUAAAGUCAGUCGCACCUUUACUUUCUUCCAAAUAACGCACAUUUCAUUCAUAAUAUUAAAACACAGGCCUAUAAUUUGCACGUUUUUGUUUUUUUCUGAAUUGUGUGAAAUGGCUAAUAAAAAUAGGUAAUACAAAACGAUUAUGUGGAGGUGAAUUGGUUUAGUCUUGACUUCUGGUCGUGAGUGACAGUGUUGGGGAAUGGGAAAUCUGUUGAUUGUCGAGUGCCAAAUAAACACAGCGAUGGAGAGAAAAAGGUCAAAGCCUGAUUGUGAAACAUUCUGAUUGUACAUAUUUUUGCCACUUUUAUGUACAUAGAGUAUAUUUAUUUAAGUUCUGAUAACUUAUACUGUUUUGUGCAGAAUUGUGUUUUUCAAAUGUUCUGUUGAAUGAUUUGUGCAAUUGAGAAAUAUAAGCUUGUCUUACACUUAUAUUGUUAUAGUAAAACAUGGCUGUUUGUGCAAAAUUUUUUAUUUUUUAUUUUUUCUCGGAUGGGUGGGGGGCGCUCAGAGGGGGUCUCGCCCGGAGAGUAAUUCAAUGUAGAACCGCCACUGAUUACACCUGCUAAGUUAAUUCAAUAUGUGCAAUCUGAAUUGAAUAAUAUUAUUUAUUUUGUGGUAACACUGCCGUGUGGGAAGCUCUGACAGAGAAAAACAUUAUAGAUACGUAAGGGGGAGCCGUAUAAUGUAAGUGCAUCAUCUUUUCUUGAGUGGAGGCCUAAUCUGUCUGCUGCACUUGAGCAGGUUCAGUUUUUAGAGUGAAUGAAAACUUUUGAAGCAUAGAUAUGCCGUAUGAUGUGAUUAAAAUCAUACUUAUUUUACUGUGGUGGGGAUUAUUAUGAGCAAACUAAUUUAAAAGUUUAAUCUGAACACUAUAUAUGUGUAAUCUGACCUUUUAUUUUUUUAUUUUUUUACAGAAAUUCUGAGCUGCUGCAUGAACAUUCAUCAAACAUAUCAGGCUGCAAUUUGGAAAAAACUUUCAAGCUAAUGCUGCUGAAAUGGAGGUCAAUGAAGGACUAUGAAGAGGUGGGCUCCAGCUGAUCAAAAGGGUGGACUUCAGGAGGCAGACACACUCUGUUACAGUAAUCAGCUGAUCCAGUCGGUAUCCAGACCAGACGGUGGACCUACUCCCAGGAACGACCACAACACAUCCCUGACUGUCAGCGGAGACCAUGUCAGCUAGAUGACAGAUCCCUGUGAAGACCUCAUUGAUGGCCCCAGCACAGAUCCUCAGCAAAGACUACGAGAACCAGACAAGCCCUCUGCACAGACCCUUUUUACCAGCUUCACCUGCUGGCGUGAUAUUUCUUCAAGCAGAAGAAGUUGGAUGAAAUAUUCUGAAUGAUAUCAAUCCACAAUCUGACUUGUGAUGCAGCCUGGAAUAAUCACACCACGUUCAUUCGUUUGGCCAGACGAGAACUGGUUUCCUGACUGAGCCGGGUCUUGUUUGGGUUCCUUAUCACUGUUGCCUUUUGUCUUGCUUGGUUGAAGACACCUAAUAUUCAGCAAUAUUAUUGACUUGACUGCACUGACACCAUUUGAUAAGAACUGAACUGAAUUAUGACACACAAUGUUUUAUAUAUGAAGAAUUUAUUUGCAAAAACGGAUAACUCCGUUUUUAAAAUAUUUUUAAAAAUCAUGUUUUUUGUUAUGUUUUUAUUGUUUUUGUGUUAGUUAGCUAGUAUUUAUUAGUUAUUCUUUACCUAAUCAAAAUAACCUGAAUGCAGUUUGAUUGAGAUUAAUUGGA